rnacentral:rRNA from 1 species
GACGAACGCUGGCGGCGUGCUUAACACAUGCAAGUCGAACGGAAAGGCCCUGCGUUUGUUGGUGUUUCGACUGCGGAAGGGGGGAGAGUAACAUGAGUAAAAUCCCCUCGCCUUUGGGGUAAAUUUCGGGAAAAGGGGCGAUAACAGGGGAGAACACCCAACACCAUGGGGGGGGUGGGAAAAAUUCGGCGGAUGGGGAUGGUCGCGAGGGUGAUCGGCUCGUUGGGGGGGUAGGGGGUUACAAAGGCUUUGAAGGGUGGCCGGCCUGAGAGGGUGACCGGCCACAUUGGGCCUGAGGUGCGGCCCAGACUCCUACGGGCGGCAGCAGUGGGGAAUAUUGGAAGAUGGGCGGAAGCCUGAUGCAGCAACUCCGGGUGCGGGAUGACGGCCUUCGGGUUGUAAGCCGCUUUCGCCUGUGACGAAGGGUGAGUGACGGUAAUGGGUAAAGAAGCACCGGCUAACUACGUG